UACAGGGGGUGCAAACGUUGCUCGGAAUUAUUGGGCGUAAAGCGCGCGUAGGCGGCUACUUAAGUCGGAUGUGAAAUCCCUCGGCUCAACCGGGGAACUGCGUCUGAUACUGGGUGGCUUGAAUUCGGGAGAGGGAUGCGGAAUUCCUGGUGUAGCGGUGGAAUGCGCAGAUAUCAGGAGGAACACCGAUGGCGAAGGCAGUUCUCUGGGCCGUAACUGACGCUGAGGAGCGAAAGCGUGGGGAGCGAACAGG
rnacentral:rRNA from 1 species